CAGCCGCCGCGGGAAUACGUAGGGUGCGAGCGUUAAUCGGAAUUACUGGGCGUAAAGCGUGCGCAGGCGGUUAUAUAAGACAGGUGUGAAAUCCCCGGGCUCAACCUGGGACCUGCAUUUGUGACUGUAUAGCUAGAGUACGGUAGAGGGGGAUGGAAUUCCGCGUGUAGCAGUGAAAUGCGUAGAUAUGCGGAGGAACACCGAUGGCGAAGGCAAUCCCCUGGACCUGUACUGACGCUCAUGCACGAAAGCGUGGGGAGCAAACAGGAUUAGAUACCCGGGUAGUCCCUGUCUCUUAUAC
rnacentral:rRNA from 1 species